UAGAAAGUUUUAUAAUUUUGUGUCAUCCU
rnacentral:piRNA from 1 species